ACGGGCGCGCUCCUGCGGCAGCCGGGGCUGCCCUUCUGCGGGUCUGUACAAAGCUGACCACCACCACCUCCUCCCGACACCAAGCCUGCAGGAGGGCUAGAACCCAGGCUGUCCAGCCCGGGCGUCUCAGAUGGUGGCUUCUUCCAAGUGGCAAUAACUGGCCUGUGAAAGUUCACACACUUCAACCUUGCUUCUUAAAUUGGGCAGAGGGGUGGAAAACCAAAGGCCGCAUUUUUUUUUUUAUACUUUUUUUUUUUUUUUGUGUAUCAAAGUGCAGUCAGAGAGCUGCGUCCUGAUUGGUGCAAUGAUGAUGGUAUGAUUUCAUUCUCCCAAAUCAUCUUUGGAAAACUGUGAAACCCACACUAUGCUUAUGGCCUGCACAGUUACCUGAUGCCGGGCCCCAGAGGUUGUUGGAACAGACACUACUCAGAUGAUUCUUCCUUUACGGAGGAGGGGACAGUUUAAUACCCUAUCUCCCACCCGCCAUCGCUGUAUCCUGUGUAAUGAUGGGGGGAGGGAUAAAGCGAACGUGCUGUGGUCACAGCAGGAGUGACUCCCACCCGGGCUCACUUCCCGCUAGGCAGAAUUACUAAGAGCAAGAGGGAGAGAGAGAGAUCUUCGAUCCCAAGUGGUGCUGGUUUGGGUCCUGGCUGCUCCACGUCUGGUCCGACUUCCUUCCGAUGGCCUGGGAAGGCAGGGGAGGUGACCCAAGUCCUUGGCCGACGCCCCUGCGGGAGACCUGGAAGAAGCUCCUGGCUUCGGAUCGGCUCAGCGCAGCCCUUGAGCCAUCUGCGGAGUGAACCAGCAGAUGGGAGACCUCUCUCUCUGCUUCUCUGUAAC
rnacentral:lncRNA from 1 species